rnacentral:rRNA from 1 species
GACGAACGCUGGCGGCGUGCUUAACACAUGCAAGUCGAACGGAAAGGCCCUGCUUUUGUGGGGUGCUCGAGGGGCGAACGGGUGAGUAACACGUGAGUAACCUGCCCUUGACUUUGGGAUAACUUCAGGAAACUGGGGCUAAUACCGGAUAGGAGCUCCUGCUGCAUGGGGGGGGUUGGAAAGUUUCGGCGGUGGGGGAUGGACUCGCGGCUUAUCAGCUUGUUGGUGGGGUAGUGGCUUACCAAGGCUUUGACGGGUAGCCGGCCUGAGAGGGUGACCGGCCACAUUGGGACUGAGAUACGGCCCAGACUCCUACGGGAGGCAGCAGUGGGGAAUAUUGCACAAUGGGCGGAAGCCUGAUGCAGCAACGCCGCGUGCGGGAUGACGGCCUUCGGGUUGUAAACCGCUUUCGCCUGUGACGAAGCGUGAGUGACGGUAAUGGGUAAAGAAGCACCGGCUAACUACGUG